rnacentral:lncRNA from 1 species
CAAAUCUCAAGAUUGGCUGGAAAGACACUACAGCUCACACAAUCCCUGGAAAUCCAGCUCAUUUCCUACUGCCCAGCUCAGCGGCAUCAGCCGAAGGAAGCGUGGUGGAGCACACGGCUGCCAGGGGGUGGAAGACUCCUCUUGACAGCAGCAGGCACUUGACCAGCUCAGAGAAGUGGCCACAAUAGUAUUUCUUGAAUGUACACUGCAAAGUUAUAAAAUACACACCAUAACAUCAACUACAAACAGCUACAGAAAUACCAGCUCUGAGAUUCUGAGACUUCUGAUGGAAGAUCUGUACUGACCUCAGUCUAAAAGACCCUUCACUAUGG